AUACGGAGGGGGCUAGCGUUGUUCGGAAUUACUGGGCGUAAAGCGUACGUAGGCGGACUGAUCAGUUGGGGGUGAAAUCCCAGGGCUUAACCCUGGAACUGCCUUCAAUACUGUCAGUCUUGAGUUUGGGAGAGGUGAGUGGAAUUCCUAGUGUAGAGGUGAAAUUCAUAGAUAUUAGGAGGAACACCAGUGGCGAAGGCGGCUCACUGGCCCAUUACUGACGCUGAGGUACGAAAGCGUGGGGAGCAAACAGGAUUAGAUACCCUUGUAGUCC
rnacentral:rRNA from 1 species